rnacentral:rRNA from 1 species
UGGGGAAUAUUGGACAAUGGGCGCAAGCCUGAUCCAGCCAUGCCGCGUGAGUGAUGAAGGCCCUAGGGUUGUAAAGCUCUUUCACCGGUGAAGAUAAUGACGGUAACCGGAGAAGAAGCCCCGGCUAACUUCGUGCCAGCAGCCGCGGUAAUACGAAGGGGGCUAGCGUUGUUCGGAUUUACUGGGCGUAAAGCGCACGUAGGCGGACUUUUAAGUCAGGGGUGAAAUCCCGGGGCUCAACCCCGGAACUGCCUUUGAUACUGGAAGUCUUGAGUAUGGUAGAGGUGAGUGGAAUUCCGAGUGUAGAGGUGAAAUUCGUAGCUAUUCGGAGGAACACCAGUGGCGAAGGCGGCUCACUGGUCCAUUACUGACGCUGAGGUGCGAAAGCGUGGGGAGCAAACAGG